AUUCCAGCUCCAAUAGCGUAUAUUUAAGUUGUUGCAGUUAAAAAGCUCGUAGUUGGAUUUCGGGCCCAGGUGACCGGUCCGCCGUUUCGGUGUGCACUGGUUAGCUCGGUCUUUCUGCCGGGGACACGCUCCGUCUUAAUUGCCGGACGUGGAGUCGGCGAUGUUACUUUGAAAAAAUUAGAGUGUUCAAAGCAGGCUUACGCUCUGAAUACUAUAGCAUGGAAUAACACGAUAGGACUCCGAGCCUAUUUUGUUGGUCUUCGGGACCGGAGUAAUGAUUAAGAGGGACAGUUGGGGGCAUUCGUAUUACGGUGUCAGAGGUGAAAUUCUUGGAUUUCCGUAAGACGAACUUCUGCGAAAGCAUUUGCCAAGGAUGUUUUCAUUA
rnacentral:rRNA from 1 species